rnacentral:misc_RNA from 1 species
AAAGUCGUAACAAGGUUUCCGUAGGUGAACCUGCGGAAGGAUCAUUAUUGAAUCCAAAGGAUGUUGCUGGUGCUUGUAAAAGUACAUGUGCACUCCACCUUUCAAAUCCACCUGUGCACUCAAUGUAGGCUCAGAUUAACUUCCGAGUCUAUGCUUUUUUACACACUAUAAUUAUUAUGGAAUGUCUGGGUUUUUGUUGCCCAAAAUAAUAAUAAUAAUACAACUUUCAACAACGGAUCUCUUGGCUCUC